rnacentral:misc_RNA from 1 species
AAAAAAAAAAACUUGUAAUGUCCAUUCACCCGUGUCAUUUAACCCCCUUUUGAACUGAAGGUGACACGAAAAUCACCAAUAAUUGAAUUCCAAUGCACCACAUGACCACAAUGCUUUGGAUAUUAUAUCCAACAAAAUAACCCUACUCAACAUGUAUUUUACAAUGCUUGACUCAGUCCCUACAACUCGCGGUUUUCAACAAUUCUAUAGCUUAAAUCUGUUAGGAUCAGUGCUUUGAAUUUAAGAAAUUGCAAUGAACAACACAUAACUAGCAAUGAAUGGACGGUGCUACUUUUACAAUGAUUUAAAAAAUAUAUAUAAUUUUUGGCACUGCUUGGAUUCUCGUCAUCUUCAACCUGGGGCUGGCUAAACAAUGGAAAGACUCACAUAAAUGGAACAUUUUAAAAGGCGCCAACAUUCAAUUUGCAUGGGGAUGAAAGACU